UUUGGUUGCUCCACUGUGACAUAAGAGCUUCAAGCAUUCCUCAGUCUAAUGAGAUUGUAGCUAUGUGCCCUUGUUCUCUCUGGGAGAUGCUUGUGGCACAGUCUGUGGGACCAGCAGCCCUCUGAAGAUCUGGAUCUUCCUGGAUCCUUUCUCUGAGUGCAUACCAGGCCAGUGAGAGCUCUCUUCACUUCUUACCAUAGCAGCUUCAAUAUGUAUUUUCCCCAAGCUCAUCUUUCCAAGAACACAUGGUGUAUGAGUUUUGUAUCAUUUCCAGUACAGGAUAACUUUGCCAUACAUAGGAAGAUACAUUAGCAGAUCUAGGAAAAAAAGAUAAACAAUCAUAUGUAGUCUGCUUCAGUUUUUUCAUGUGGUAAACAUAGGAAGAUUUCUUUAAGUAAUUAAUUCAAUAACUAAAAACUCUUCCCUUUUUCUCCCCUAUGGCUGCCUUCCCCAUAUUCUUACGUGGUUGGGUGGGAGGCACUCUCAAUCCUCUAUGUCACAGCAGGUGUCUAUUACUGAGUUAUGGUUAGAGUUUGGGUGUGAUGGAUGGGCUUGCAAGGGAAGGAGCCCACUGGUGACAUUCACCGCUGUGAAGACUGGUCAUUAUCAAAGUGAACAAUAUCAAUUCAGUUAAACCAGUCACAAAUGUUUCAUCUGAACUGCAGUUCAUGUUACUUAAAUGCUAACAGUGCAUUUAAUCUCACUAUGAAUAGAGAAACAGCAGAGGAGACAACAACAUGAAGUUUGCAGUUUGUCCCAGGAUGCAUGGAGAGACCUAUCAGGAUCAAGCAGAAUUCAAGAAAUAGAGACUGAUUGACACUUUUUGCCAAAUCACUGCAAGAGUAAAAUAAAGAGCAAAUCCCCAGAUCACCUCCAGAUACUGAACUGAAAACAAACCACUUCAUUCAUCAUGCUCUAUAUACAACUGAACUUUAUUUAUACAAAGAAGAUGUGAGUGAAUAGUGUCAACGAGAACUACAUGAAGCAGAAAAACUCAUGGAGGAACAGGAUGACUCAUGGACAGCAUAGCUGGAAGCAAAAAGCUUGCAAGACACAUGAAAAAAAUGUCAAUUGUGAAGAAUGUCAACAAAUUGCAUCAUACAGCAUUUUGUGAACCAACACUUCACACGCAUAAACGAUCUCCACUGAAUUCUACUCUGAUGAAGUUUUUGGUCUGGUUUCCCUUCUUGCAAAAGGACCAGUUCUCUUCUGUACAGACACUUUGCAAAUACAACUCUUUAGCUGUUUCUAGGAGAUACUGCAGUAUCUCUUAAAAACUGUUUUGUUUUAUUAAGAACUCAAAGUGUCACAUUUCCAUACCACUGCAAUUACCAGGUAACAAUGUUUUUACUUCCAAAAUGCCAUUUCCAAGUUUAUCAUCUCUCCGUGACUUGUAAUUCUUCUGGAUAAACAUGUUUGAGAUCUGUGAUGGUCUCCCUGGUGAUGGUUGCCAUAGUGCUUCACAGGAUUUUAUUUCUGCUCAUUCCUCAAAAGCAGGACUCUGGUUCUCUGUGGGAGGCCCAGAGUUGUACCAGUCUCAGAUUUUAUUGCCUUUGCCAUUCUGCCCCCACUAAGGAAUAAACCACCCAGAUGCCACUGUCAUCUUUACUGUAUUCCAUCAACUCUGCUUAAAAUAAUGUUACAAAUCAUUCUCUCCCUUUUCUCAGCACAUUA